CUGAUGGUUCUUUUAAGAACCACUAGCUUGUUUUAAACAAUAAUUGU
rfam:Ictidomys tridecemlineatus contig043717, whole genome shotgun sequence.